ACGCUUGAAGUCAGUCGCGUCGUCCAGGGAUCAACCUUGCUUUUGCUUGGUGCACUUUCUGGUUUGACGGGUCAGCAUCAAUUUUGACCGUUGGAAAAAGGCUGAGGGAAUGUGGCAUCUUCGGAUGUGUUAUAGCCCUUGGUCACAUACAAUGGUUGGGAUUGAGGAACUCAGCACGCCGCAAGGCCGGGUUUUAAACCACGUACGUGCUUAGGAUGCUGGCAAUAUGGCUUUAAUCGACCCGUCUUGAAACACGGACCAAGGAGUC
rnacentral:rRNA from 1 species